GUCUCUUUUAUUCCCAAUCCACAAACAUAGUACAGCCCACAAGGCGUUACAAAACAACCAAUCAAUCCGUACAAUACACCCAGACACUCCCACACAAAAUCCUCCCCUCUGCAGGUGAUAUGAUUACUGAACACAAUGGGUAAUCUCAUUAUCACCGGCAGAGGAAUACAGUUUUUACACAAUAUUUAUAACUUCGAAAAUAUACAUGUCACAAACAUAAAACAUAAAUUUUCAUAAUCAAUCCAUUCAGGGGAACAACAUAUUAAAA
rnacentral:lncRNA from 1 species